rnacentral:rRNA from 1 species
UACGAAGGGGGCUAGCGUUGUUCGGAAUUACUGGGCGUAAAGGGCGCGUAGGCGGCGCGUCAAGUCAGGCGUGAAAGCCCCGGGCUUAACCUGGGAAUUGCGCUUGAGACUGGCGUGCUUGAGUUCGGGAGAGGUGAGUGGAAUUCCCAGUGUAGAGGUGAAAUUCGUAGAUAUUGGGAAGAACACCGGUGGCGAAGGCGGCUCACUGGACCGACACUGACGCUGAGGCGCGAAAGCGUGGGGAG